UGUCCCUGUGCCAUUCUAGAUGGCCACAGAACCUGGGAAAAGCAGGAUGAACACAUUGAGCCUUCCGUCUUAGAACCCAAUACUGCCUGCAGUUUCAUGUGUCAGUUAGGUUUCUCAGGUUCCAUCACGGAGCACAUCCUUGGUGAAAAUCCGAAUGAGUUUGACACAUUCUCUUAAGGUGUCCAAGGUUGACAGAAGACAUUCUUUUGGGAGGGGAAGCUUAUUGAAAGUUUACUAGAGCAAGACUAGUGAUUUUUACUAAUGGUUGCUAAAAAAAUAAAUGUCUGUUUU